GCCUGGCUGGCUCAGUUGGUAGAGCAUGUGAUUCAUAAUCUCAGGGUCAUGAGUUCAAGUCCCAUUUCGGGCA
rfam:Canis lupus familiaris chromosome 14, whole genome shotgun sequence.